CUGCAGGUGCAUUAGUCAACCCGA
rnacentral:siRNA from 1 species